CCCAUCAGGGCUCAGGGAUGGGCCAGAGGGGAUGGGGACAGGGGAUAGGUCUCACUCUCCCUUCUUCCUGGGCCCUCAG
rnacentral:miRNA from 1 species